UGAGCACUUCAUUAUGCCUUCCCUGGUCCCCAUCUGCUCAUAACUGGAACGUGGGCCAUAGGGUAGCACCUUUCUUAGUGUAACAGGCACUCAGUUUUGAGAUGGGGGGGCAAGAAAUACAAGGACCGUGAACCAGCCGAUUACCACAUAAGCCCUGGGUGGAGGCUAAACUGCAAAAAUGUAGGGCUGGAAGGGGGCUGGAGAGAUUUUCAAGUCCAAACCCCCCGCUACACUCCUCCCUGCCCCACCCCAAAGCAGCACCAACUGCUGCCACCCCAGCCUCCAGGGUUUCCCCCUCCACACCCGUGGAACCCCUGAGCCAGAUAAGGAGGAGGAAGAAGGGGAUGCCGAGUUCAAAGAGAUCCUGCAAACCAGUGGUGCAUCAGACCAUGAGCAUGGGACCUGGAGGGUGCCUACUGCAGACAGCCCAACAAAAGAAAGACCAGAGAGGAGAAAGGCCCAGCAGGAAAAUGAGAUGAUGCACCAGGACAUAAUGGGGCUGCUUAGGCAGUUGGUGGUGCUGCAGGUUCAACAAUUCCAGGUUCACCUCCCUCUGAAGCCCAUUGAGAACUUAAUAUUGGGCCCUUCCUAACUACUCCCCCCCAAUACUCUCUGUGGCAGUGGGGUCGCUACACUACCCCUUCCACUCCCCCCCAGGGGACAUUACACAUACUUACAGCUUCACAUACACUGACCCGGGAAGGCCCACAGCUGGUGUAGGUGAAAAAUAAAAUGAAAUAAAUUGAGAAUAAAACUUACAAAGUUUUUAAUGUAUUUGUGUUAGAGUUGCAUGGGGGUUUUUUACACUGAU